GAUGAACGCUGGCGGCGUGCCUAAUACAUGCAAGUCGAGCGGACGGACGAUAAGCGUGCUUCUCUGAUGUUAGCGGCGGACGGGUGAGGAACACGUGGAUAACCUACCUCUAAGACUGGCAUAACUACGUGAAACUGGAGCUAAUACCGAAUAAUAUUUUGAACGGCAUGUUGCAAGAGUUAACGAUGGUCUUUCUGCCACUUAUCGAUCGAUCUGCGCUGCAUUGGCUAGUCUGUAAGGUAACGGCUUGCCAGGGCGACGAUGCAGUUCCUACGUGGGGGGGUGAGGGGCCACACUGAGACUGAGACGCGAUACAGACACCGACGGAAGGCAGCAGUAGGGAAUGUUCGGAGCUGGGCGAAAGACUGACGAAGCGGCGCAGGGUGAGUGAUGAGAGGCUGCGGAUCGUAAAACUCUGUUAUUGGGGAAGAACAUAUGCGUAAGGGACUAUGCACAUCUUGACGGUACCUAAUGAGAAAGCCACGGCUAACUACGUG
rnacentral:rRNA from 1 species